UGCUAGGUUCCAGAACAUUUUGGAGGAAUGGUGGACAAUUCCUCCACAUUUACUGGGAAUCAGUGUCUUUGGAAAAUACUGUAGUCUCUACUAAGAGGUGUGACUGCUUCUUUGACCUCCUUCCAGGUGCACAAGUAGCCUACCAGGGUCUGCCACAGAUUCCCAGGAGCCACCACAGGUUCUAGAGCAAUCUACCACAGAGUGGGAAAGAAAGUCGCUUCCUCUGUUACAUCAAAGUAGUUUUGGCUGUGCCCUGAUACCAGAGAGGUGAUGAUCCUCUUCUUGGGAACACAGACCGAAGGCCAUGGGAACAGCUGAGAGUAUUCUCAAAUGACAGAUUUGGGAUCGCUCUUCUUUGUCCCUAAGACCUUACUACAAGGAGAAGCUUGAGACUUCACGGGAAACCAAAUCAUACUAGGAAUGCUAUGUGGAAUCUGAAAGAGGAGCAGUGGAUGGAUAGAAAUGUAAUUACCAUCAGGUUUAUGUAGUUUAAUAAAUCCACCUCCACAAUGAGCCAUGAAAGGCGCAAGCCCAUCCAUGGGGAGGACCCACUGAAGAGUCGAUUGACAAAUUUAUAGCUGAUGAUGUUCCUCCAAUUUAAAGAUUCCUGCUGCCCCUCUUUGCUCCUCCAAAUCCAAGCUUCAAGGCCCAAGUUAG
rnacentral:lncRNA from 1 species